GACGAACGCUGGCGGCGUGCUUAACACAUGCCAGUCGAACGGAAAGGCCCUGCUUUUGUGGGGUGCUCGAGUGGCGAACGGGUGAGUAACACGUGAGUAACCUGCCCUUGACUUUGGGAUAACUUCAGGAAACUGGGGCUAAUACCGGAUAGGAGCUCCUGCUGCAUGGUGGGGGUUGGAAAGUUUCGGCGGUUGGGGAUGGACUCGCGGCUUAUCAGCUUGUUGGUGGGGUAGUGGCUUACCAAGGCUUUGACGGGUAGCCGGCCUGAGAGGGUGACCGGCCACAUUGGGACUGAGAUACGGCCCAGACUCCUACGGGAGGCAGCAGUGGGGAAUAUUGCACAAUGGGCGGAAGCCUGAUGCAGCAACGCCGCGUGCGGGAUGACGGCCUUCGGGUUGUAAACCGCCUUCGCCUGUGACGAAGCGUGAGUGACGGUAAUGGGUAAGGAAGCACCGGCUAACUACGUG
rnacentral:rRNA from 1 species